rnacentral:miRNA from 1 species
CUGGGUCUACCCAGCUGCGUAA